rnacentral:lncRNA from 1 species
ACUUUUCCCCCAAAACUUUUACUCCCCUCCCUUCCCAACCCCCCAAUCUACCCACAAUUCAUUUCCCACCAAAAUUUUACUCUCCCAUUUAAUUUUUCUCAAAAUUUUACUCCAAAAAACCCUCAAAACAUUUUAUUUUCCCCCACAAUUUUUACUUCCUCCCACUUUUCCCCUAAAACUUUUAUUCCCUUCCCAUCCCACCUCCC